GGGCGUGUAGCUCAGCGGCUAGAGCGACCGGCUCUGUCCGGAAAGGUCCUGGAUUCGAGUUCCAGCAUGUCCA